CCCAAACCGACACAGGUGGUCAGGUAGAGAAUACCAAGGCGCUUGAGAGAACUCGGGUGAAGGAACUAGGCAAAAUGGUGCCGUAACUUCGGGAGAAGGCACACUGACACGUAGGUGAAGUGGUUUACCCAUGGAGCUGAAGUCAGUCGAAGAUACCAGCUGGCUGCAACUGUUUAUUAAAAACACAGCACUGUGCAAACACGAAAGUGGACGUAUACGGUGUGACGCCUGCCCGGUGCCGGAAGGUUAAUUGAUGGGGUCAGCGCAAGCGAAGCUCCUGAUCGAAGCCCCGGUAAACGGCGGCCGUAACUAUAACGGUCCUAAGGUAGCGAAAUUCCUUGUCGGGUAAGUUCCGACCUGCACGAAUGGCGUAAUGAUGGCCAGGCUGUCUCCACCCGGGACUCAGUGAAAUUGAACUCGCUGUGAAGAUGCAGUGUACCCGCGGCAAGACGGAAAGACCCCGUGAACCUUUACUAUAGCUUGACACUGAACACUGGUCCUUGAUGUGCAGGAUAGGUGGGAGGCUUUGAAGUGUGGACGCCAGUCUGCAUGGAGCCAUCCUUGAAAUACCACCCUUUAAUGGCUGGUGUUCUAACGUGGGCCCGUGAACCGGGUUGCGGACAGUGUCUGGUGGGUAGUUUGACUGGGGCGGUCUCCUCCUAAAGAGUAACGGAGGAGCACGAAGGUUGGCUAAUCCUGGUCGGACAUCAGGAGGUUAGUGCAAUGGCAUAAGCCAGCUUGACUGCGAGCGUGACGGCGCGAGCAGGUGCGAAAGCAGGUCAUAGUGAUCCGGUGGUUCUGAAUGGAAGGGCCAUCGCUCAACGGAUAAAAGGUACUCCGGGGAUAACAGGCUGAUACCGCCCAAGAGUUCAUAUCGACGGCGGUGUUUGGCACCUCGAUGUCGGCUCAUCACAUCCUGGGGCUGAAGUAGGUCCCAAGGGUAUGGCUGUUCGCCAUUUAAAGUGGUACGCGAGCUGGGUUUAGAACGUCGUGAGACAGUUCGGUCCCUAUCUGCCGUGGGCGCUGGAAGAUUGAGGGGGGCUGCUCCUAGUACGAGAGGACCGGAGUGGACGCAUCACUGGUGUUCGGGUUGUCAUGCCAAUGGCACUGCCCGGUAGCUACAUGCGGAAGAGAUAAGUGCUGAAAGCAUCUAAGCACGAAACUUGCCCCGAGAUGAAUCUUCCCUGAGCCUUUAAGGCUCCUGAAGGAACGUUGAAGACGACGACGUUGAUAGGCCGGGUGUGUAAGCGCAGCGAUGCGUUGAGCUAACCGGUACUAAUGAACCGUGAGGCUUAACCUUACAACGCCGAAG
rnacentral:rRNA from 1 species